GCGGACGUGGCGGAACUGGUAGACGCGCAGCGUUGAGGUCGCUGUCCUCGCAAGAGGGUGGAAGUUCGAGUCUUCUCGUCCGCACCA
rnacentral:tRNA from 4 species